GACGAACGCUGGCGGCGUGCCUAAUACAUGCAAGUCGAGCGAAUGGAUUAAGAGCUUGCUCUUAUGAAGUUAGCGGCGGACGGGUGAGUAUCACGUGGGUAACCUGCCCAUAAGACUGGGAUAACUCCGGGAAACCGGGGCUAAUACCGGAUAACAUUUUGAACCGCAUGGUUCGAAAUUGAAAGGCGGCUUCGUCUGUCACUUAUGGAUGGACCCGCGUCGCAUUAGCUAGGUGGUGAGGUAACGUCUCACCAAGGCAACGAUGCGUAGCCGACCUGAGAGUGUGAUCGCCCACACUGGGACUGAGACACGUCCCAGACUCCUACGGGAGGCAGCAGUAGGGAAUCUUCCGCAAUGGACGAAAGUCUGACGGAGCAACGCCGCGUGAGUGAUGAAUGCUUUCGGGUUGUAAAACUCUGUUGUUAGGGAAGAACAAGUGCUAGUUGAAUAAGCUGGCACCUUGACGGUACCUAACCAGAAAGCCACGGCUAACUACGUGCCAGCCGCCGCCGUAA
rnacentral:rRNA from 1 species